rnacentral:tRNA from 1 species
GGUAGGGUGGCCGAGUAGUAGGCGGCGGCUUGUAGACCCGCCAACGGGUGAACACCCCCCUAUCA